CAGGGUGUGGCUGAGUCAGUUAAGCGACUCCCUUACACCGAGUACACAUCCAUGCAAAUUGGAUCACCCUGA
rnacentral:tRNA from 1 species